GUUAUGACAGAAUUAAUCAUUUCACUUUCUCAUGUAAAUCCAGGAGAAGCAACACUUCAUAACCAAACAAACAUAAACAAGAAAUUCAUUCAUGGCAGAAGAUCUGUGGAGCAUCACAAACUGAAGGAGAAUUAAAUGAAGAGGAAAAAGAAAAAUGCCAAACAAAGAGAGCAAGAGACAAUCUACUGAACCAGAAGAGAAAAACACCCCGAAACUAAUCAGACGCAACAGCAUUAAUAGCGGAAAACCAAACUUUUCUGAUGAUCCAGACAGUUUUAUUCUGACUGACUCUGAUGAGACAGGAGCAGCUCCUUUCACCGGACCAGCAGAAUAUAAUUUAUAUUCUUUAUACUCACUGAUUACAGUUUUUUACAAUCAUUUUUGCAUUAA